rnacentral:rRNA from 1 species
AGAGUUUGAUCAUGGCUCAGGAUGAACGCUAGCGGCAGGCCUAACACAUGCAAGUAGAACGGUAACAGAGAGAGCUUGCUCUUUGCUGACGAGUUGCGAACGGGUGCGUAACGCGUAUGCAACCUACCCAUAACAGGGGGAUAGCCCAUAGAAAUGUGGAUUAAUACCCCAUAACAUCAUAGAUUGGCAUCAUGAAAUGAUUAAAACUCCGGUGGUUAUGGAUGGGCAUGCGUGACAUUAGCUAGUUGGUGAGGUAACUGCUCACCAAGGCAACGAUGUCUAGGGGUUCUGAGAGGAUGAUCCCCCACACUGGUACUGAGACACGGACCAGACUCCNCCNGGAGGCAGCAGUGAGGAAUAUUGCGCAAUGGAGGAAACUCUGACGCAGCCAUGCCGCGU